GGCACGGUGCUGGUGCAGUGGUAGAGUACACGGCCCUUGUAUAGAGAGGCCUUGGCCCUUGACCACGGCUGUCUUCUGGUUCGAGUCCCAGCCAUGCCA